CGCGGGCUGGUGGCCCCCGCGCCCCGAAGCGCCCCCACGCGGCGUCCCCGCGGCCCGAAGCGGCGCCGUACCUCCCGCACCCCUUCCCAUUGUUUCGGCUCCUCGCCUUCCCGCCUCGCAGCGGGACCUUGGAGGAUCCUGCGGGCGCGGCGACAGAGAGGCGACUCCGCAGGGCGGGACGCGCCUCAACCGCGCCGCGUGGGUCCUGUCACCCUCCUCGCUCUGCCCGACCCCACCCCGCCGCGAGCCCAAGUCUGGGGCGGCCCGGCUGAUUGCUCACCCAACUUACUUGAAGGUUGGCGCUCGGCCGCUGGGAAACUGAAACUUUAAUUUCGAUACAAUGUUAAAUAAAAUAAAGGGGCGGGGGGACCGGGAAGCCUUAAACCCAGCAAUUGGGAAAAGUGGUCUCGGGAAGAUCGGGAGUUUCAGGGCCAGCCUGAGCUACUUAGUGAACCCAGGGCAAGCCUGGGAUACGUGGGACCCUCAAUCCAGCCCUCCUCUCCUAUGGGGGAGGGGACAUUUUUUUUUAAUGCGGGCGUGGUGACUAGUCUAUGACCCAGCAGUAGAGGCUUGAGGAGUGCCUCGAGUUCGAGGCCAGCCUGGGUUACAAAUGUGAAGCAGUCACCCCCCCCCCCCAACCCAGACAACAACCGCAAAGAAGAAGAAAAAAAGGAAA
rnacentral:lncRNA from 1 species